rnacentral:tRNA from 1 species
UGGGAUGUAGCUCAGCAGUACAGCACCUGCCUGGCAAGCUGGAGGCCCUGAGUUCGAAUCCUGGCACCAA